rnacentral:rRNA from 1 species
CGGGAGGCAGCAGUGGGGAAUAUUGCACAAUGGGCGCAAGCCUGAUGCAGCCAUGCCGCGUGUGUGAAGAAGGCCUUCGGGUUGUAAAGCACUUUCAGUCGUGAGGAAGGCGGUGUAGUUAAUAGCUGCAUUGUUUGACGUUAGCGACAGAAGAAGCACCGGCUAACUCCGUGCCAGCAGCCGCGGUAAUACGGAGGGUGCGAGCGUUAAUCGGAAUUACUGGGCGUAAAGCGCAUGCAGGUGGUUUGUUAAGUCAGAUGUGAAAGCCCGGGGCUCAACCUCGGAAUUGCAUUUGAAACUGGCAGACUAGAGUACUGUAGAGGGGGGUAGAAUUUCAGGUGUAGCGGUGAAAUGCGUAGAGAUCUGAAGGAAUACCGGUGGCGAAGGCGGCCCCCUGGACAGAUACUGACACUCAGAUGCGAAAGCGUGGGGAGCAAACAGGAUUAGAUACCCUGGUAGUCCACGCCGUAAACGAUGUC